rnacentral:rRNA from 1 species
UCGGACUGUAGUCUGCAACCCGACUACACGAAGCUGGAAUCGCUAGUAAUCGCGGAUCAGAAUGCCGCGGUGAAUACGUUCCCGGGUCUUGUACACACCGCCCGUCACACCAUGGGAGUCAGUAACGCCCGAAGUCAGUGACCUAACUGCAAAGAAGGAGCUGCCGAAGGCGGGACCGAUGACUGGGGUGAAGUCGUAACAAGGUAGCCGUAUCGGAAGGUGCGGCUGGAUCACCUCCUUUCUAAGGAA